AGUCGAACGCGCAGCAUUCUGUAGCAAUACAGGGUGUGGGCGCGUGGCGAACGGGUGCGUAACACGUGGAUAACCUUCCUUGAGGUGGGGAAUAACCCAGUGAAAAUUGGGCUAAUACCGCAUAACAUCGCGAUGGCACAUGCUGAUGCGAUCAAAGGCGCAAGUCGCCACAAGAGGGAUCCGCGGCCGAUUAGCUAGUUGGCGAGGUAAUGGCUCACCAAGGCAAUGAUCGGUAGCCGGACUGAGAGGUUGGCCGGCCACACUGGAACUGAGACACGGUCCAGACUCCUACGGGAGGCAGCAGUGGGGAAUCUUGCACAAUGGACGAAAGUCUGAUGCAGCAACGCCGCGUGGGGGAUGAAGCUUCUCGGAGUGUAAACCCCUUUCGACCCGGAAGAAUGCCCGCAAGGGUAUGACGGUACGGGUAUAAGAAGCCCCGGCUAACUACGUGCCAGCAGCCGCGGUAAUACGUAGGGGGCCAGCGUUGCUCGGAAUUACUGGGCGUAAAGGGUCCGUAGGCGGUGUAGCAAGUCGAUAGUGAAAUCUCUGCGCUUAACGCAGAAGCUGCUAACGAAACUGCUGUGCUAGAGUGUGAGAGAGGCGAGUGGAAUUACGGGUGUAGCGGUGAAAUGCGUAGAUAUCCGUAGGAACAUCCGAGGCGAAGGCGGCUCGCUGGAUCACAACUGACGCUGAGGGACGAAAGCUAGGGGAGCAAACAGGAUUAGAUACCCUGGUAGUCCUAGCCCUAAACCAUCA
rnacentral:rRNA from 1 species